CGGAGGGGUCGCUGGGAAGUGAAGGCGCCGGGCCUUAGCGCAACGAGUUCUUUGGCGGAAGAUUUCUAGAGAAGCACCGGGACAAAGUCGGGGGAAGGGCUCACGAGACAAGCUUCCAGGUGUCGGGCCAGCCAGCGCCCGGGGGAGCCCAGCGUCCCGUCGCGUCUGUUCCGGGAGUAGAGGCGCUGGGCGCACCAGGAAGUGACUCUCCCCAGCGGCUGCGAUGUGGACCCUUAGCUGAUUUUGUCGUUAACCGCCUCCGGUUUGUAAGAAGAUUUAUAGGUUACGAAGAAAACCUCCAGGUUGGUCACAACUCUUUCUGGGCUCAGCAUGUAAGGGAAACUUCACCCACAUGAUAGCCAAGAAGUGUCAAAGAAGACAGAAAAGUCAGAAGAAACCAAGACAUCUUGGACCACUAGAUGAUUCCUGGCAGGAAAGGCUGGCUGAUGUUGUGAUGCCACUCUGGAGGCUGAGCCAUGAAGAACAGCUCAAGUACUACGAAGUAUUCCUUCAACAGUCCCCAUUGGAGCCCUGCCUUCUGUUUCGUGAAGGUGGGUACUGGCGUGAGCUCAUAGCCCACACCAAUAGCCAAGGGCACACAAUGGCCAUCAUCUCUUUCCAUCCCCAGGAAUUAAGGCAGGAGGAGCUCUGUGUUCAGAAGGAGACUGUAAAGAAGUUUUUCACCAAAGGGCCAGGAGCAGUCUGUGACUUGACAUCACUUUACUUCCAGGAAAGCACUACGACCCGUUGCAGCCAUCAGCAGUCCCCCUACCAGCUCCUGUUUGGGGAACCCCACAUCUUUGAAGAUCUCCUGGGGUUGAAGAUCUGCAUCUCUCCAGAUGCCUUUUUCCAGGUUAACAUUGCUGGUGCAGAGAUACUGUAUCGGACUGUGGGGGAGCUGAGUGGAGUGAACUCUAACACCAUCCUCCUUGACAUCUGCUGUGUAACUGGCAUCACCAACUGUGAAUUCCAUACUGGUCGAGCAGAGAAGAUUUUGCCACAGCUACUGAAGUCAAAGGAAGAUGGGCAGUUAAUUGUUGCUGUAGUGAACCCAGCCCGGGCCGGGACUGCGUAAGGAUGACUAGAUUUCCUGCUACAGAGCUAAUUACCAGGUGGUUCAAGCCAUUCGAAACUACGGGGCCAUCCGCAUACUAGUUUUUGUUUCCUGCAAGCCCCAUGGUGAAAUCACAAGGAACAUCAUUGAGCCUCACCGGAAUAGAAGCUUCUCCUAGUCUCUCCAGUUUCUGUUGACAGUCAGCUGCCUGAAGCAACUCUCAAGAUGUACCUUCAAGCUUGAAGGCAGAGAGGGAAGGAAACAGCUGAAGACCCAUCAUAGCUACCUACACACUUCUGAGACAGGCUGAGCCAAGAAAUUGCCUUAGACUCUUCUUUCUGCUUUCAGAAACAAAGUCUCUUCCAACUUUGUUCACUUACGUUCUGCUAGAUGGUUGAAAAAGAUGGGUUUGUGACAUGACUCGUUAAGGUUCUUUUUUAUGUUUUGAACAGAUGAAUAUCUAUUUUCCCUACUACCAUCUCCCUCAUUGUCCAUUUCCCUUCACUGGAGUCAGUCACUGUUACCAGUUUCUUGUGUAUCCUUCUUGAGAUAUUCUAUGCAUAUUUGUAUAUGUACACCCCUAAUUUUUAUACAAUUGUAGCAUACCAUAAAUGCUAUUCUGCACCCUACUUUUUGCACUUUUUACAUAGAAGGCUGUUUCAUAUCAGUACAUAAAGAGCUUCUUUAUGGCUACAUGGCUGCACAGCGUUCCAUAAUUAUUAGAGAUAUACCAGAAUUUAUUUAAGCAGUUCUUUGUUGAUGGAUGUUUAGGUAGUGUCCAACCUUUGGCUGUUAUAAACAUGCUUAUACAUAUUAUAUUUCACAUGUGAGAGUAUAUCUCUAGGAGAAAUUGAUUAGGACACUUUGGUCAUUGGCUUGUUCAGUUGCUUGGUGGCGAUAAAACCACAGUACUACGUGUGGAAUCAAAGAUUCUAGGAGGCCUAGCCAUGCCUAACUACACCGAUGUCAUGGGAUGUUAAGCUAGACAGAAUCUUGGAGAUCCCAGAGAGGACCAAGAUCACACAAAGAUUUAGAAGCAGAUCCAGGAUUAAAACCCACAGUGUUUUACUCCAGUCUAUAAUGUAGCUCUUUUUACUACACCAGACUGCUGUGGGUCAGAGAGAUUUGGCAUGGCCUGAUUUCUGUCCUGCCAGGCAGGACUGUGCAUUAUCUGGCCCACGGUGAUCUCACUACCCUGUCUUUACAUGAUUUCUCUUCCCGGGAUCUGACUUUGCCAACCUAAUUUAUCCUACUUUUCCCUGCUGCUCUGACUUCUCCCACUAAUAAUAACUCCAUCUUUUUUAAAAGUUAGAACUGAAGUCCUUGACAGUUGGGGGACCCUUUAGUAGUAAAGCCAAGUAGGAGAGGCAGGAGUACUGGGAAGGAUGUCUGGUAAUGGCGUAAGAUUUAUGAUCUUACACAAGCUUUCUACUCUUAGUUCAUCCGUUGAGUCAUCGUAUAGUGUAGGAGGAGUCCCUUUCUCCUCUUGGCACGGCUGGAAUAUCUCCUUUCCUUGGCCAUAAGGUCAAACACCUUAAGGUCCAACAAGCAUAUAAUGUGCCCAAUAGGAAAGGAUAUGAAAGUGUGUGCGGAUAGUUUAAUUCUUACUGAAUUGUGCUAGGGAGCAAACUACAGGUGAUAUUCUUCAUGGGCAGCCCAAGGAAAUCAAGGACCCAUGUGUGGACUGACUCUUAAGUCUAUCUUCACUUUGGCUCAGGCCACAGAGGGGUCAACUGCUGCCAGUAUUUUAUGAAAUGCUCACUAUGAUGAUGGAUAAAAUUGUUUUAGGAGCAGAUUGUAGAGCUAUCCCUGGGACAGCUUUUCUCAAGUUAUGAUCCUCUGAGCACUUGCAUUACUCGAAGGAUGGGGCCCUGGAAUCUGCAAGUAGUCUUCUUUCCCAAAUAAUUCUUAUGUGAAUGUAACUAUGAGAACUACUUCCUAAGGAAUGGUAAAUUGAGAAGGUGGUUGUGAGCCUUUGAAUUUGGGGUGGCCUGUAAAAUUAGUGAGAAGAGCUGACCAGCAAUUCCAGGUAGCAUAUGGAUAUUUCAUUUGAGAGGAUAUAAAGACUGGGUUAGGUGCCUCCUAUGUGCUUCCACAGAUUCUGUGCUUCUAUCAUAACCCUUGUCACACUGUAUUGUAGUUGAAUGUUUUUGUCCCUUCCCCUAUAAUCCAGAGCGUUCUUAGUUGUGAGCAACAGAAAUUGAUUGGCUAAUUUAAGCAGAAAAUGCUUGUCUUAAAAGCAUAUUGAAUAGCUCCCAGAAUCCCAAGUUGGACUGGAGAACCAGACUCAGGGCUACACAGCCAACAUCACAGCUGUCACCAUUACUACCGCCAUGCUAGCACCAUUAGUGGGUUGGCUUAGGUCCUCAGAGAUGCAGAAACCAAGCUGGGAUUAGAUAUGCAGGAGAUUUAUUGGGGAAAAUGUCAGUGAGAGAACAUAGGGAGGAAGCUGGGAGAGAUGUUAAACUGCAGUGUCAAUCUGACCUUUAUGGAUGAGAGAAGGAAAGAAGAAGGUUAGGUAGGAAGUGUCGUAGACUGAAGUGCAGUGCUAAUAAAGUUUGACCAGGCUGAUGGGGAGUUCUGUUGCCACAGUCACAGGCCACAUAGUCCUGUGUCUCCCAGAAAUGGGGCUGACUUAGUAUCCCUGCUGUGCUCAGUCACUGGCUGGGAGCAGUGUGGCUUCAGAACAAAGCAGCAAAUAUUGGGGUGAAUUUAAAGCACAGCAGCUGGGGCAAAGGUCAGUGACACUUCCCACAUUGGAAGAACCAAGAGGCACAUUUUCAUGACUGUCUGAAUUGGAGAAGAUUGUCCACUUCUUUGGGUCACUGGCUCCCAAUUCAAGGGAUGGAUCCUUGGAUUGAGGGAGCCUAAGUCACAUGCCUGUGCCCCAACUACAAGGGGGCCCUGCUUCUUAGCAAGAGUCCUGUGUCCUCUCCCCCAGAUAAAGGGUUCAAAUGCUGUACAGCGACACCCCUAAAAGGACAAAUGUCUAUUAUACCAUUACACUCUGUGAACCCCUUGAGAGCAGAGAUCUUUGUCUUACUGCUAUUACAAAUAAAUGUUUAUUGAAAUAACUGAA